UGCAGUCGGACGGUAGCACAGAGAGCUUGCUCUUGGGUGACGAGUGGCGGACGGGUGAGUAAUGUCUGGGGAUCUGCCCGAUAGAGGGGGAUAACCACUGGAAACGGUGGCUAAUACCGCAUAACGUCGCAAGACCAAAGAGGGGGACCUUCGGGCCUCUCACUAUCGGAUGAACCCAGAUGGGAUUAGCUAGUAGGCGGGGUAAUGGCCCACCUAGGCGACGAUCCCUAGCUGGUCUGAGAGGAUGACCAGCCACACUGGAACUGAGACACGGUCCAGACUCCUACGGGAGGCAGCAGUGGGGAAUAUUGCACAAUGGGCGCAAGCCUGAUGCAGCCAUGCCGCGUGUAUGAAGAAGGCCUUCGGGUUGUAAAGUACUUUCAGCGGGGAGGAAGGCGAUGAGGUUAAUAACCUUGUCGAUUGACGUUACCCGCAGAAGAAGCACCGGCUAACUCCGUGCCA
rnacentral:rRNA from 1 species